rnacentral:lncRNA from 1 species
UUCAGGUCAAAAACUAAAACCAACAGCAGAGAAAGAAAAAAAAAAACAAAACAUUUCUCAAAAAAUAAAACCCAGCUCAUCCAAUCCCUCAGAUCUGAGAAACCAAUCCCGAGAGAUCUCUAGCCAAGUGAACCUCUGCCGCCGCUGGUAAAUCCUGCACCCAAAACCUGUCUUUCGGUAUCGACAUCCUUACUUUUGCUAACAUAUGAGCCACCAUAUUAGCUCGUCGAUCAACAUGGUGAAAGGAGAUGUGCUGAAAAGAGCUCGCUUUGAUAUUUAUUUCUUCAAUGUAAGUCCCCAUAUCUGAAAAAUCUGGUAGUACUUGGUUUAUUUUGACAAUUGCGGUCCUAGAAUCACCCUGCAUUUGAGCAUGAGAAAAACCCGUUUCCCUUGCGAAAUCCAAAGCUUGACAAGCUAUAGCUUCUACUGUAAAAGAAUUGGAGACAAAUUUAUUAAAAAUAGUUCCGCUUCUCAUAACCAAACCUUUACUAUUCCUGAUAACAAAACCAUAAUAAGAAUGGUGGAGGGUUAGUUUGAACCCAGCAUCAAAAUUCACCUUAACAAAAGGUUCUUGAGGGGGCUUCCAUAUAGAGUUCAUUGCAUUCACCGGAGUAGGUAUUUUAUCUUUCAACUCCCUUAUUUCCUUUAUAAUACUGAAAAUAAUAGAGUAAAUAUCUUGGACCGAUUGUCAUUUUCCUUCCAUUGUGCGCUUAUUGCGGGCUUGCCAGAGUGCCCAGGCCGUGGUUGCAGCAAUUUUACCAAAAUCAUGCCUUCAGUUUUGAAAAACUAAAUUAAGCCAGGUGUAGAAAUCCAUAUUUUCAUUAAAAUUUGACCAGUCAACACCGAUUGAUUGCCAAACAGUUUUUGCAAGGCCACACAUCAGAAGAGUAUGCAUAAAAUUCUCAGGGACCUCUCCACAGCUAGGGCAAAUUGGCGAUGAACUUAUUCUUCUAUUGUAGAGGUUAACUGCAGUAGGAAUAUACUCAUAUGUAAAUCGCCAAAUAGCAAUUCUGAUUUUUGGGGGAAGAUUUAAACCCCAAAUCUCCUUGUAAAUUCCUGUAUAGUUAGUAUUCGUAAUAUCGUUAAUAUACAAUUCAACAAGAUAGCAGUAACCACUACGUACCGUAUAGAUGCCAGAGUUAUCAACAGACCACACCAUUUUAUCUUUAGAACUAUAAACUGAAAGAGGAAUGCAACAGAUUGCAUGAACUUCCAUAAGGGUAAAACGAAUGCUAAUAAAAUCCACUUUCUAGGUCUUAGUUGAUUAAUCAAUAAGCUUUGACACUUUAUCAAUCCCACUGUUUGCAGAAGUAGCUUGAAUUUUCUCCCCGCCCAACGGGGCAACUAACAAUCUUGCAAAACUGAAAUUUGGGAUCCAGAUCCCACCCUCCAGCAAAUACCAUCUUCUAAGACUUUUUGGGCCGCAUAUAUACUUUUCUAGGUAUACGCGAGUUAUUGCCUAAAGUGGCAUUCCAAAACAAGGUAUGAGGGUAGUACUUUGCUUUAUAAAUACGUCCAAAUAACGAAUCUGGAUUAGUAACUAACUUCCAACCUUGUUUAGCGCAACGUUAAACUUGCCAAGAUCCCUGAAACCUAUUCCUCCACAAUUUUUAGGAAUACUAAGACUAGCCCAAUUACACCAAUGCAUUCCUUUACGAGUUGAGCUUUUUUGCCACCAGAAACGACUCAUAACACUCUCAAGUUUCAUACGAAACAUCUUUGGAAGCAAGAAACAAGACAUCGAAUAAGUAGGAAUUGCUUGAAGGAUAGUUUUAAUGAAGACUUCUUUUCCUCUUUGAGAUAGUAAUCUAGUCCCCCAGCUCUGAACUUUCAUUCUCAUUCUAUCACAAAUAUGUUGAAAAGCAUCCUUCUUUCUUCUCCCAACCAUAUUAGGAAGACCCAAAUAUCUUUCUAUACACGACGAACGACGAACCCCUAACAUCUGCACUAAUUGAUUAGAAGAAUUAUCAGAGACAUUGGAGCUAAAGAAAAUUUAUGACUUAUCAAGAUUUAUCUUCUGCCCCGAAGCAGAUUCAUACUUUCUCAAAAUAUCCAACAAAACCUGUCCUCCUUUCUCAUUUGCAUCACCAAAAAUAAUGCUAUCAUCAGCAAAAAAUAAAUGAGUGACAGUAAGACUUCCCUACAUACCCAUCUGAGCAGCAGAGUCGAGUAAAGUUGAAAAACCCUCAGUACAAAUUAGAAAAAGGUAAGGGCUUAAAGGAUCACCUUGACGUAGUCCCCUUUGAGGGGAAAAACUUUCACUUGAAAACCCAUUAAAGCUGACUGUGUAUGAAACUGAAGAUAUACAAUGCAUAAUCAAACUAAUCCACUCCAUCGCAAAACCCAUUUGUUUCAUCAUGCCUUCUAAAAAACCCCAUUCCACUCUAUCCUAAGCUUUGCUCAUAUCGAGCUUAAGAGCAAAUGAGCCCUUCUUCCCUUUACUCCUCCUCUUCAACACAUGUAAGACCUCAUAUGCCACAAGAACAUUAUCUAAAAUAAGUCUACCAGGCACAAACGCUCCUUAGGCAUGAUCAAUACACUGAACCAAAACCAUUUUCAAUCUAUUAGCAAUGGUCUUAGAAAUUAUUUUGUGUAAAACUGAACAUAGACUAAUAGGGCGAAAUAAAGACAUAUAUCCGCAUCACUUACUUUGGGAAUAAGAAUAAUGUUGGUAGAAUUUACCUCAUGAAUCGAGAUCUCCCUAUUAAGGACUUGUAAACAAUACUUUUGUUUUUUAAUCUAAUGCUUAUUUACUCAUUUUUUGAAUAAAAGGGAUAAGAUUCAAUUCAACUCCUAGUACAUGAGCUUUCCAUAAUAUGUCACAUUAGAUUUUAUAUUGUUUUUUUCAAAUAAAAUUUUUUUAGUUCCACCUUAGAAAUUACCUUCCAUGUCACCGUUUCACGGUAAUUUUUUAACAAAAUAGCCAAUUUAAGCUUUCUUCAAAUUUAUAGGAACUAAUUUGUUAUUUUUUAGUAAAUUAACUUUUGUUUUAGAAAAAAGAAACCUCCAUGAAACUUUUAUAAUAAGCAUGACAAAAAUCCCCUUAAAAAAAGAACUCCCUUCUCUUUAGAAACUUUUUCUUUCUUGUUGUGGUAGCUUUUUAAUUUAAAAAUUUGAAAUUAGCUUGAUGAAAUUUAGCAUGACGAAAUUUAGCAAAAUGUGAGUAUUUUUCACUUUGGAAAAAAAAUCAUGAGGGUUUUAUUUUAAAAUAGGAGUUGUCAAAUUUUUUUUGGUUAUGUGUGAUGAAUAAUCACCUAUAAAAUUAUAUUUUAUAAAAAGAAUUUUAAAUUUUUUAAAAAAUAUUUAUGACUGUAUUGAAGUGUAGGGAAAAAUUAAGUUAGAAAAUCCGUUAUGCAUACGGAAAGUUAUAGCAACCAUACUAUACUCAAAAUUGAUAUAUUUUUGAUUAUGUAUCGUUAGAAUUUUUAAAAAAUAAAAGUUCAAUAUUUUGAUAUUUAAUUAUAAUCCCUUAAAAUAUUAACUUAUGAUAAAAGGAUUUUCAUUUCUAGGCGAAUUCAAUUUUCAAUGUAAAAUAAUUUUUCCACAAAAAUAUUAAAAAUCCAUCUUUAUUCAAUAAAUAAAAUUUGUGACUUCACUCGUUUGAAAUAAGAUAUUCCAUGAUUAAUAAGCAUUUAUAAACUCUUAUAAUUGUCGUAAUGAAGGGAUCAUUGAUAAAUUAAUUGAAGGAUAUUAUUUUAAUAAAACAUGAAUAUGCAAGCGACAAAUACAACACAAUAACAAAGACCUCUUGUAGCUUUCAUAAUCACAAUCUACUCAAUUGAAUUUUUUUGGGUCAAAACUAGGGUAUUUAUCGCUCUGCUGUGGAUGCUUUCCAAAUAGAUAAAUAGUUGGUCAUGAAAUAUGCUCCCAUGGAUAAGAAUCAAACCCCCAACCUUAUAGUUAAAGGAAAAUGUGCUCAAUUAAAUAUUUCAAAAUUCUCAUACUGUAGAUAUUAAUAUUGAAACGAAAUUAAUUCUCAACGAUAGCACCUAAUUCUUAUAAGGCUCUUGAAAAAUGGGAGAGUUCAAUAUCAAAUAAAUCAUCAUUUAUUAUCAUAACAACAUAUUAGUAAUCAGGGGCAAAGCUAGAAAAUUUUUUUAGGGGUGAAAUUAAAUUGUAAUUUUUACGAUAGUAAACAAUACAAUUUCACCAUUUUAAUAGCCUAUACCUUUAUAAUUUUUAAUGGAUUAAAUAAAAAUUUUAAUAUUUUUAGGGGAGGCCAAAGUGCAAAUUUACCUUUACUAAUUUAAAAUUUUAAAGGGCCUAAAUAAAAAAUUUUUCAUUUUAGAGGGGAUCCCAACCGAGGCCCCUACUAGCCCUCUGGUUACACCUCUAUUAGUAAAAAAAAAUUAAUCUUCAAAUGAAACAAAACAUUUUCUAUAAAGAAAAAUAAUUUCUUAGAAGCAUUAAGAAAAAUCAAAGAGUAUCUAAUCUUGCUUCCCGGAGAAUGGACAUUGCAGAAAGUUGGUCUCCUACAAAGAUGAACUUUUUUGGGUGGGUUAUUGGGACACUCCUAAUAACCUAUGGGAAAGGGAGAUGGAACAAAUGAAAAUGAACUAAGAGGAAGAGGUUUUAAGGAAAUGAAGGAUGAAGAUAGUGUUGUCAAGGCCAACCUCUCAAAGGAAGAAAAGGAAGCUACAAUGACUAGAUUAAGAAAGACUUUAAUCAUUUAGGUGUUUGGUAAAACAACUGGCUUUAAAUAUGUAUCCUUCAAGUUAAGCCAAAUCUAGAGGCUUAGAGGAGAAAUAGAACUAAUAGAUCUGGGCAUGAUUUCUUCCUAAUAAAGAUUGGGAUCAGAAAAGAUUUCGAAAAUGUUAUAGAUGGAGGACUGUGUUUGUAAAAGGGAGGUUUCUCAUUAUACGAAGAUGGAAUCAAAAUCUUUGAGCCUUUGAAGCAACUUUUUGCUGGAAAGUUGUUACGACCCAUGGCGUAACGAGAAAUAUUUUGAGGAUUACACUCCAUGGAUUCAUGUGCGAGGAAUGAGUUAAGGUUGAAAGGAAGGUAUGAAAGUAUACCUAAAUUGAUUUGAAUAAAUAACAUAGAUGGCAAAAAAUGGUACCCUUAUAACUUUUGGAAAGACUCUCAAAAGCCUCUAUUGCUGCUAGGUGAAGAAUUUCUAGCAAGCAAGAAAGCAUAAUAGGGGAAAACAUAUUACAAUUUUCAUAUUCAAACAUUUCUUCUUUUGAAUUGGCAUAAAUUUGGCAAAAGGGAUUUCUGGAUCACAAAUAAAAUAUGUGAGACACUAUAACAACCCGUUUUUUCAGUGGUGUCAAGAACAGUAGUGGUUUUGGAACCACAAAUCUGAUGAGUAAGUUUGUAAAUAUUAUUAUUUAAUAUUUACAAGUCAAAUAUGGUUUUAAAAGGGUUUUUGAUAUGGUAAUUUAUGUUAUAUAAAUGAUUAAUUUAGUUAAGUGGUAAGACCUUAAAGUCAAGUAGUUUUAGAAAAUGAAGUAUUGGGACCUCGUUUCUAUCAACGGGGUAUUAUAAAGGUUGUAUUAAAGUUUUAUUAAGAAGUUUUAACAUUUCGAUAGUUAAUUAAUUAAAAAGGACUAAAUCGUAAAUGAUGUAAAAUUUGAUCACUAUUUGAUUUGAGUAAUUAAAUGGCUUAUUAAAUAAAGGUAAGUGGACUUGAAUGGUAAAUAAAUCAUUUUUAAAAGGUUUUGGUUGGUUAGUGGGGUUAUUUAGUUAAAAAUGUAACACCCCUAACCCGUAACCGUCCCUAAAAUAGGUUAAGAGGCAUUACCGGACUUGUAACUCAAUUCAGAACAAUCAUUUAUCAAAUGUCAUCUUAUUUCAGUAAAUAUCAUUCAUUCACAUUCAAUAUGUACUUAAAUCGAGCAUACAAAGUUUAAAUCAUGCAUUCGGGACUAAAUCGGUAGCAUAUGAAAAAUUUAGAAACUUAGAAAAAUUUCAACAUUUCAAGUAUCACACGCCCAUGUGAACAGGCGGUGUGCCUCACACGAUUAAUAGACAUGCCCGUGUCUUAGACCAUGUGGAAACAGGGCAUACAUAAUGACUUGUGUCACACGGCCAAGGACACGCCCAUGUGCCAGGCCAUGUGAAAACGGGAGAUGAUAUUGACUUGGGUCACACGGCCAACCGCACGCCCAUGUGUCUAGCCUGUGUGCCCUUCGAAACAGCCACACACACCCGUGUAUCAGGCCGUGCCAAAACUAUAGGGUAUACUGACUUAUCAACAUGGCCAAGUCACACGCCCGUGUGCUAGGCCGUGUGCCAUUUAGGGGGUAUACUGACUUGUACCACAUGGCUAGUCACACGCCUGUGUGUGAGGCCGUGUGGAGCAUACUGACUUCCAUAUCAUUUCAACACUAGGGGACACACGGCCGUGCAACAAGACCGUGUGUCACACACAGCUGAGACACACGCCCGUGUGGACAAACGUAGGCUAUUUGUAAAGCCAUAUUUUCCACCCUGUACAUAUAAGCAUUCACAAGCAUAAAUGACCACAUUUCAUAACUCAAUUGGCAAUCAUAAUAACCAUUUCAAUGCACAUUAUUUUCCAUAUCAAACCUAACAUUUACAUACCCAAUUACCUAAUUAACAUCAUGUAUAAUCCAUUCAUAUACCAAAUACAAAUCAAGAUGUCAUUUGCAUAUUUUCAUUCCAUCUAUUCUUUGCCAAAACAUACCAUAGUUGAACACUUAUACACAACCAAAGAUGAUACCAAAAUAAGCCAAAUCACAUGGCUUAGCUCAUACAAAAAUAUACCAAAAGCAUAAUUUUCAAGUGGCCAUUACUAACACCAUUUAAACUAGCCUAUACAUGCCAUGUUUACAUAUUUUCACAAGUUCAAAAGUACCAAUUAGAAAUUGGAUAGUGUGAUGUGCAACUCCGACUUGUCUGAAAUGAGCGAGCUAACAAGCCUAUAUAAAACAUAGAAAAAGAAAUAGAGUAAGCUUUAUAGCUUAGUAAACCCGUAUAAUUCAGAACUAAACUUACCAUUUAUACAUAAUCAAAGCAAUACUUAAAGUGCAAUAAAUUCAAUUAUCAAUCACCUAAUCACAAGUAUUCAUCACAUGUUAGUCAUUGUAAAAAUACAUGAAACCAUCUAUUAAUAGAAUACUUUGCACCAUUCUAAAUUCAUAUAUCAUAUAUAACAUUAAUAACAUUUAUAAUCGUAACUCGUCCAUAUAAACAGUAUUUGUGCCCGUUGAACCUAUUAGAAAUUUAAAGGAUACUCAGGUGAAUAACAUCAGUAAUUUGUCAAUUCAUUAUCAUUUAUGCUCUUUCGAGCCAUGAUCAGUAAGCUCCUCCUGAGUUGAUAAAUAGAAAGCUCUAUUAAGCUGAAAUUGUAAGCUCUAUCAGGCUGAACAGUAAGCACAUACGAGUUGAAACGGUAAGCUCUAAUGAGCUAAAAACAGUAAGCUCUUAUGAGUUGAUAUAUCGAUAAGCUCAUAUAUGCUGUGGUGAGUCCUCAACAAAUGCAGGAGCUCAACUAAAUCGGUAACCCUACUGACAUGUCACUCGUAUCCUACGAAUUCAUACGGUUUAAACAGGGCUCGGUAACAAAUAUAUUAUAUCAAUAAAACAUGCAUAUCUCAUGUAUAUCAAUUACUCAAUUAUACAUAUUUAUUUCAAUAAUUACAAGUAUUUUAAGUUCGAUUCUAAUUAUACGAACUUACCUCGUAUCCUCGUAUAAAACUAUAGACUAUUUGUCCACUUUUCGUUUUCCCCGAUCUAGUUCUGGUAUUUGCUUAUCUUGAUCUAUAUAAUAUCAAAUUAACUCAUUCAAACUUUCAUUCAAUUCAAUUUAGCCUAAAACAUUCAUUUUGGCUAAAUUACAAUUUUACCCUAGACUUUUGACUACUUUUCAAUUUAGUUCGUAACAUGUAAAAAUACAAAAUUACACAAUUAUGCCAUAACCCAUGGUAGCCUAAUUUCAUAGGAACUCCUAGCAGCCCAUAUCUUUUAUUAUUUUACACUUUUAACCACCACAUUUUACAAUUUCACAAUUUAAUCCCUAUUUUACAUUUUUGUCAAAAAUCACUUUACAAAACUAGUUUAACUAUCAUCAAGCUUCCAUAAUCUAUCAUUAAACAUCAAAGAACUCAAGUAUUCAACAAUAGAACUUCACAAAAUCAUGAAAAAAAUUCAAAAAUUAAGGCAUGGGCUAGCUAGAAUACAAAGCAAUGAUCUCAAAAACGUAGAAAUCAUUAAAAACUGAGCUCAAAACGCUUACCUAUUUAACCAUGAAAGUUUUGAAUGUUAAAACCCUAUAAUAGCUUUCUCUUCUCUUCAAUUUUGGCAAGAGAUGAAUGAAAAUAACAUGAUUUUGGUUUUUGUUUUAUUAUUAUUAUUAUUAUUAACUUAAUACAUAAAUUAUAUUAACCUUAUAAAUAUAACUUAUAAAUCACUUAAAUCAUGGACAUAAAUGUCCACUAACCUUAAUCAUGGUAUAAUAACAUUGUAAGGACCUUUGAUUUACUAAAUCAUAGCAACUAAACACCUUUAACAAUUAGAAUUCAACUUUUACACGAUUUAGUCAUUUUUACCAAAUUAAGCAUUUAAACGGUAAAAUUUUUUAACAAAAAAUUCAUAUAAUAAUUCUAUCAUGCUGUAAACUUUAGUAAAAUAAUAAAAUAAUAUUUUAACUUCGAAUUUGUGGUCCAAAAAACACUGUUCCAAUUCGACUCAAAAACGGGCUGUUAUAAAAAAAUGAUGUUUAUUAAAUUAUAAAAACAUUAUAUUAUGUUAUAAUGUUAAUAAAAUAAAAUAAAAGAUGAUGCAUUCAUCUUCUUCACCAUUUUUAGUUGAAACAAAAUGGGGGAGAAGCUCCAAGCUCCGAUUAAGCUUCAAUGGGUGCAUGUAAGCCCUUUUUCCACCCGUUUCUUUUAAUUUUUAUGUUUUUAAGAUCGUUGCAACUAGGUCUAGUUAGCCCGUACCUUUAAUUUUGAAACUGUUAAAGAUAUUGAAUGUUGCCAUUGAUGAAUCUAUGUGAUUUAAAUAUUAGAUGAUGAAUUUGAAGUAUUAGUUGUUAUUUAUGAGUAUUUUAUUAAGUGUUUUUUGACGAAUUUACCAACUAGGUACUAAAUUGUUGAAAUAGUAAUAGUUCAAGGACUUGAUGUGAAAUUGUUACAAAAAUAGACUAAAAUGGAAGUUAUGAAUAUUCGGCUGGUAUAAAUUUGCAAUAAAAAUGGUUAAUUUGCAUGUUUUAGGCUGAGAGACUAAAUUGAAUAAAAGUAAAAUGUUAGGGGUAAUUUUAUAGAAAUGUUAAAAAUUACUUUGUCAUUUCUGCAAUUUAGCCAAGUAAGUUUGUAUGCACUAUAAACACUUAAAUUUUGAUUAGAGUGAAUGUUUAAUGUGUUGUUUUAAUGUAAAUGAAUCAAUAUAUAUAUGUUAUUGUGCAAUUUAUCAUGUCAUGAAUGUAACACCCCAAUCCCGUAUCCGUCGCCGGAAUAGGUAAAGGGGCAUUACGGAAUUGAAACUCAUAUCAGAACAGUAAAUUUUUUUUUGAACAUUCCUUUAGAUAAGUACUAAAGACAGUCAGGGAUACAAUUUAAACUUCUAUAAGUACACAUUCAAAAGAUGCCAUUUUCGCAUGGCUUAUAUACAUUAACCAAAAUAUUCUUCGGCCACUGGUCUAUUCUAUACAUGCCAUAAAAUAAUUCAAAACAUAACAGUAACAAGCAGUGGAUAGUGAUAGUGUGACUAGUUGCUGACGAUCCCCUAGCCUGUAGCUUCGAAAUGAGAUCUAUAAAACAGAGGAAACAAAGUAAACGGAGUAAGCAUUACAAUGCUUAGUAAGUUUUAAGUAGUGUAAGUUUUAAGCAGUGUCAACAGAUAACAAUCAAAUUAUAACAUAGUUGUUCGUAUUUUUAUUUCACUUUUCCUUCGGGCAUACCAUCCCUUUACCGAAUAUGCACAUCUCAUCAUAUACAAUAGGCAGAUAAACUUUCACAUAAAAGUGAGCUCAUGUGACAUAGAUAUAUUGUAUAAUUUCACAUAACCUCUCACAUUGAUCCGAUGUCACAUAAUCAUAGGAAUAGUCUCAUAGAUUGCUCACGUAUGCAUCACAUAACUACCUUAUGAUUUAGUUCAAAUCAAGCUCACAUAUAAACUUGGAGUACAUACCUGUUUAACCUUUCGCAUUGAAUAUAUUUAUAAGCAAUUCUUAUUGCGAAGUCUUAUAGCUUUAACCUCUACUCGGAUUAUCGGCGAGACCUUUAGCUCAGAUGAAAUCUCCACACGAAGUCAGCGGGUCUUAACCCAGACAUAGUCACCACAUAUGGUUAUCUGGUCUUUAAUCCCAGGUUUACAUCAUAGAGUUUCAUGCAUAUUUAUUCACAUGUUACAACAUUCACAUCGACUAUCAUAUUUGUAAUUCAUUUACCUCAUCAAAAAUCUAAUAAAACACACCUUCCGCCGUCUGUCAUUUGGCCACAAUAUAUAUAUAUACACAUCUCAUACAUAUCUCACAUUAGCCAUUCGGCUUUACCUCAUAUCCAUCUCAUACACGUUUCGCAUUAGCCAUUCGACUUUACCUCAUAUCCAACUCAUACACGUUUCGCAUUAGCCAUUCGGCUUCGCCACAUAUAUACACUUCCACGUUCAUCACAUUGGCCAUUCUACCUUAUCACAUAUAUGCAUGUUCACAUUCAUCACAUUGGCCAUUCGGCCUUAUCACAUAUAUGCAUGUUCACAUUCAUCACAUUGGCCAUUCGGCCUUAUCACAUAUAUGCAUGUUCACAUUCAUCUCAUAAAAUCCUAAAUCAAAAUAUAAAUUUUCAUGUAUUCACAUCACAAUUAUCCAAAUAUACUUCACAUACCACAUAUACUUUCACGUAUACACUUUGUCUUGGUUGAAUCUACAUCUAUCAUUUUCCAAUGAAUAAUUCAAUUUCAUGCCAUACUAUUAUUUCAUAUUCGAAUACUUAUAAACUUACAAUUUCACAAAUUUUAAUAUCAAAGAUCCAUCUAACACUCAUAUAUCAUUUUACAAUAUCACAAUUUAGAAUUCACGUAUGGGUUUAAUCAAUAGCUUAUGAGCAACUAAAACAAGUUUUAUCCAUGUUUACAACAUAACCACAAAUUCUCUACAAGCUGUUUUUCCUGAGCAACAGUCGUUAAAUGAUUUGUAACUGGGGCUACAAAAUUCCAAAUUAUGUGCCGCUAAUUUUCCAUGAAAAUAGACUCGUAUAUCCUCUAUCCAAAAAAUUUUCAGAAUUUUUGGUUUGGCCAAUCAAUACCAGAUUUUUCUUAAAGUUUCCCCUAUUUUACUGCUUGACUACUCCGACUACUCUUCACUAAGAAUUUAAUUUCUCAUUGUACCGAAUUCAAAAUAUGUUUUCGUUUAUUUUGUUUGAAACUAGACUCAUUAAGGAGUCUAAGCAUAUAAUUUUAUCUUAUAAUCAUUUUUGUACGAUUUAUGAUGAUUUUCCAAAUACUGAACAGGGGAUUUUGGAGCCAUUCUGACUUUGUCUCACACAACCUUGAAAAUCUCAUUACCGUCAACCCCUUUGCUUACACGAUUUCUUUUAUACAAAACUAGACGUAUCAAUAUUUAAUUACAUAAUUUAUUCAGCCUUUAACUCAACUCCCACAAUUUAUGGUAAUUUUUCCAAAACACGCUACUGCUGCUGUCCCUAGCAGAUUUAUACAAUUUACUCUGUAAAGUUCUCAUUCACAUAUUUAAAACAUAAUAUCAUAUAUGCCGUCAUUUAGAAAAGUCAUUGACCUUAACGUAUAUACAUAACUCAUAUUCAUCCCAUUUUAAACCUUAAAACUUACAAAGGAAUCAAACUCAAUUACUUAAGAACUUACCAUUGAGUUUAAAACAUAUCAUCAUAUAUAAGUACUUCUUAUUAUCACAUACAAAUCAUAAUUUAAAUAUCACUUUUCUAAUAACCAAUCGGCUAAUGCUCAUAGAAGUAACUUAUUCCCUAUCAUUUUACUAUAGGUAAUUACACCAAUUCAUAGUCCCAUCUUUACCUGUAUUCCAUAUCGUUCUUCAUUAUAACUAAACUUAUAUGCUAGAAACUUACCUUAAGAGUUGUCGACGACUAUAAUUCUACGGCUAUUCGCUUAGUUUUGUCUUCCCUUUUUCCGACUUUUGUCCUUGAUGCUCUUGAGCUAAUGAUUAACAAAUUUACAAAUUAAAAAAAAUUCUACCAUGACGAUUAUAGCCGAAUAACAUAGACUAAGAAAUUAAUGUACAUAUAAAACGUAUACAUAUAUAAUUAGCUCAACCUUCAAUAAUUCAAUUUGCUAAUUAAAACAUAGAAAUUUAUAACCAAUUCAAAAUUCCUUAACAACGGCCGAAUAUCAAAAGGGCUAUCAAAGGACAUCAUCAACUAACUAACAAGCUUCAAUUGUAAUUCAAAACUUAAGUUCACAUUCGGCCAUUAUAAGCAAAACAACCAUUCAAAGCUCACUUCAAUUAUUUAACAAAUAAAACUAAUGUUUAAUACUAUCUCCCAAUUUGGUAUGAGUUACUGAAUGAAAUUAAACUCCUAAUUCAUGCACUAAAAUCACAUUCGGCACAAGCAAACUUCAUUUCAAUUAUGCCACUCUUAAACUUAUCCAUAAUACCCUAAGUUCAUUUAGUAGCUAGGCAACAAUUAUACAAAAACAACGAGCAUUUAACAACAAUGUACUUAACCAAUUCCUUAAGCAUACAUUUGGCAAUAUAUAUAUUAAUGACUAAAACACUUAGGCCAAUUCUAAAACAUCCACAAAUCUUCAUGCUUACAUGCCAUAACCGUAUGGUUCUUAUCACACUUGGACCACAAAAUGCAUAAAUUUCACAAAUUCUAAUUACUAUCAUAAGCUCAAUUUCGGCUAACACUCAAUUAAAUACUUACAAUUUAGCACUAAUUUAGCAUUUCAACAUAGCCGAUUUUCAUUAAGCAAUUAAGCUACAAACAUUUAAUUUUACCAAGCUCAACUCAUCUAUAAUCAACCCUCAAUACACUAAAGCAUCAAAAACAACAUCAAAGAAAUACAAACAUCCAUGACCGAAUGUCAUCUUCAUAACUUUACAAAAACAUUUGCCAUGAGCUAGCUUCUAUACUUGAUGACCACGCCAAAUAUACAAAGAUUUUCAAUGAAAGAGCAUUAACAUACCUUAAUCCACUUAAAGGUGACCAAAUGCCUUAACUUCAAUUUCUUCUUUUCUUUCUUUAGGUACGGCAAUGGAGGAAGAAAAAGAUGAACCAAAUUUGUUUUUAUCACCCAUUUCUUUUAAUAUAAGUUCAUAUUUCAUAUUAUUUAUUCAUUUAACAUUUAAUUUAUUAAUAUAAAAGGCAUAAAAUGUCCAUCAUCCACUAACCUUGCUGUCCACUAACUUAAGGAAGGAAUAUUUAACAUGCAAGUCCCCAUAUUUUAAACCAUACAAUAUUUGGCCACUACAAAUUAACCUAUCACAUUUUCAAGUUUCUCACAUAAGUCCUUUUUAAUAAUUCCACAUUCAAAUGACAAAAUUAAGACACGAUACUUUCACACAUGAAACUUUACAUAUAAUAAACAUAGAAAAGAAAAUUUAUAUAAUUUUGUGACUCGAUUUUGUGGUCCCGAAACCACUUUCCGACCAGGGUCAAAUUAGGGCUAUUACAAUAAAACGAUUGAAAUCCAACGACGUACGAUGAUUAUCGAGCCCUGUUUGAACUUUAGGAAUUUGUAGGGUACAAAUGACAUGUCAUUAGGGUUUACAUGUUUCGAGUGUUGUUCUUGAAUUUCACAGCUUGUGUGAGCAGACUCAUUUUAUAGCUCGUGUGAGCAACCAUGCAUAUGAAAGAAAUGAUUACGAUUAUAUGUUUAGCACACUUCGUGUGAGCUUUCCUGCAUAUCCGAUGAUAUUUUAAAUGGUUCAACGGGCAUAAAAAGUGUAACGCCCCGAAUUUGGGCCUAAAAGUAUUAGGUUUGAGCGGGGGUGCAGUUAGGAGACUACACAUAAAUAUUUAAUUGUGCAAGAAAGUAACAGAAAUAUGUAUCUGCUUUAGUGGUCAUGUGUUCUGGGAAGUGUCUGGGAAGUCAUGGGUUCAUGUCCUGGCUUCCACAAAAUUUUGGUUUUUAAGGAUAAAACCCCCAAAGGGUUAUAAAUAAAAUUUGGUAAAGUAUGACACAAAUGAGCUUGUGGUCCUGUGGUAAGUGGCGUGUGGUAGUUGCUUGAGGUCUAAGGUUCAAGUCAUGGCAAGGUAAAAAGAGUAUUUAUUUUGCUCUCUUACCAUGUGAGAAGCAGAAGCCGACUAGAACUCUGCAAGUAGGAUGUUUGAAUUAGUCAAUUGAGAAAUUCUAGGAGUAGAAUUGGGGAUGUGGAUAGAGAGUUGAUCGAUUGGAGUAAAUUUACGAGAAUUUUGAGGGAUUUCAAAUGGAAGGAGGAGUUGUGGUCGAAUAGGGCAUUGAUCACUCAGGAUUUCGGCUAUAGGUAAGUUGUGGUCACUUCAUUUCGGAUUUUUUUUGGCAAAUUGUGAUGCUUUUCACUCUUCACUUUGGAAGCCGAGCUUUAAUUUUCUUUUCGUACAUCUUUUGGUAGGGUGAUUCGAUUCUUCUUCCCUCCCUUUCUAGUCUGUCGAAUAGGCCUAUUACCCUAGCCAUUGUUUCAGUUUUGAAUAGGUACUUCUUAACUCCAUUUUGCCUUUUCUUUUUCCCUCACUCUACUCUUUUUUGGCCGAAAAACUCCUUUCUCUCUCUAACUCCAACAUUACCUUCUUAACCGAAUACCUCUAGCAUUUGUGGCCGCACUUUUUUUCCUCCCCUCUCAACCGUGCUAUUUUCUUCUGCUUAAACUGAAUAUCUCCUGUGUUACCUGGGCAGCGUCUGGAUUGGAGUUAAGGGUGAUUUUUGGUUAGUCUUUUCUUCUCUUAGGUUUGCGAUUUCCUCUUAUUCUAUGAGCCGAAUAUAUCCUACUCAUUCACCCUUAUUCUACCUUAUGGCUGGCACUUAACUCUGUGAUUGUCGAAUGUUGCUAGGGGCGCAAUCUCUAUAGCCAAAGGGUUAGGCCGAUUGUCCUUUCUUAGUGAGUAGUCCUAUUGAUUCGUGGAAGUACUUUAGGUAGUAUUUAUUUACAAGGGAUUAUAACUUUUGAAGAAUCUGUUAGAGUGUUCUCAAUACUUUGGUUUAGAUUUUCCACAAAUAUGACUAAUGGUGGAUCGUUGUGAAUCAUAGGUGCUUUGAUCUCGAAAGGGUGUGUAAGCAGUUUCGUAAUAGGUGUGUAAUCGUAUGCCUUGUUUUGAUAAUUGGCUAAAAAGCUAGAAAUGUGCGUGUUGUUUACUCUGCUAUGAUUGUAGAUCGGCAAAAUGCCGAAAAGCCAGAAAGAUGGCUUAUGAUGCCACACGAGCGUGCAAUCGCGCGUGUGGUGAACCGAGCUCACGGAACGUGGGCGUACGACGAGAAAGGCCACUAUGAGCGAAUUCGUGGGCUUAGGCCGUAGUGGGCCACUUGGACCAUGAAAUGGGCCGAAUAGGCCCAAUGGGCCUGUGGGCCCACUUGUGUCAAAUCAACUGCUAGGUGGAAUAUGGUUAGGCUUGUCAUGUCAUGUACAUGGCAUAGGUCGCUUUGGGCCACGUUGGGCCGUGUGGGCCCAUACGAAUAAAAUGUAUGUUAUGUGGUAAGUUUUGGACUAGGCUAUGUCGUUCGUAUAGCCGUGAUUAGUUUUGGGUUAAAUGGUCCGUAUGGGCCCGAUGGGCUCGUGGGCCCGCGUGGGUAAAUUUCGCUAUUAAGCGAGAAGUAGAUAGACUUGUCAUGUCGCGCACAUGACUUAGGUUGUUUUGGGCCUCGAUGGGCCGAAAUGGGUCGUGUGAACCCAAUGGGCUCGUGGGCCCACACUGAUAAGAUCUGCGGUAAGUGACUAAUAAUAAACUGGGCUAUGGUGUACACAUAGUCGUAUCUAAAUUUGGGCUAAACGGGCCACAUGAGUGUGUAGGCCCACUCGGGUCGAGUAAUGGGCCUUAGGCCCACUUGCACCGUUAUGUCUGUUUAGGUUACUUUAAGUUACUUGAGGCGACGGUGGACCAUUUGUUGGGUCGUUAAGACCCCGAUUUGUGAAAUGACUGAAAUACCCCGAGUUAUAAAAUUACCAAAAUACCUUUGAUUUAUAAAAUAACUGUAUUACCCCUGUAGGGUAAAAUGACCGUAAUGCCCUUAUAGGGUAAAAUGACUAUAAUGCCCUUGUAGGGUAAAAUGACCGUAAUACCCCUGUAGGGUAAAAUGACCGUAAUGUCCCUGUAGGGUAAAAUGACAAUUAUGCCAUUGUGUUCUGUAUGACUGAUGUGCUUAUGAUUUACAUAUAUGAUUGUACUGAGUAUGAUUUUGCCUACACGUAAUAUUCAUGACAUGACAUACUGCAUGGGGUUGGGAUUUUGAUAUGAAGGAAGUACUGUACUGGUGACUAUGUCACAUUCACUGUUACUAGUGGCUUUGCCCCAUUUACUGUUUCUGGCAGCUAUGCUGCAUUAUUAUUACUGGCAGCGUUGUUACGAUAUCAGUGUGCUGGGUGGGUGAGUUGAUUUAUAUCCUAACAUGGUGUGUUGGUUGGUACGGGUGGUGUGCUGGCUAGAUUUGGGUGGGAUGCAUAAUUGCAUUACACUGUACUGAUACUGUAUUGGGCUUAGGCCCACACUGUUACUGUAUAGGGUUAAGACCAGACUGUACUAUUACUGAAUAGGGCUUAGACCCAGACUGUUCUGCAUGCAUUGUUUACUAUUUGACUAAUAGGGGAUUACACAUUGAGUUUUCGUAAACUCACCCUCUCUUUUAACUGAGUAGGUAAUUGUGACACCCCUAAUUUGGCCCUAUUCGAAAAGUGGUUUCGGGACCACAAAAUCGAGUCAUAAAAAUAACUAGCCAUCAUAUUUUAUGUUUAUUAUAUGUGAAUAUGAAUGUGUGAAAGUUUUAAGCUUCGAUUUAGUAAUUUGCAUGUGAAUUUAGUUAAUAGGACUUAUGUGUGACAUUUUUGAAAUGUGAUAGGUUAAUCUAUAAGGGUCUAUUAAAGCAUGUAUUGAAAAUAAUGGUUUUGCAUGUCAAAUUCCCCCCUUUAGAGGAAGUGGCCGGCCAUGAUGGUAUGGGAUACAAAAUAUAUGCCUUUUAUAUUAAUAAAUUAAAUGUUAAAUGAAUAAAUAAUAUGAAAUAUGAACUUAUAUUAAAAGAAAUGGGUGAUAAAAACAAAGUUGGUUCAUCUUUUUCUUCCUCCAUUGCCGUACCUAAAGAAAGAAAAGAAGAAAUUGAAGUUAAGGCAUUUGGUCACCUUUAAGUGGAUUAAGGUAUGUUAAUGCUCUAUCAUUGAAAAUCUUUGUAUAUUUGGAGUGGCCAUCAAGUAUAGAAGCUAGCUCAUGGCAAAUGUUUUUGUAAAGUUAUGAAGAUGACAUUCGGUCAUGGAUGUUUGUAUUUCUUUGAUGUCGUUUUUGAUGCUUUAGGGUAUUGAGGGUUGAUUAUAGAUGAGUUGAGCUUGGUAAAAUUAAAUGUUUGUGGCUAAAUUGCUUAAUGACAAUCGGCUAUGUUGAAAUGCUAAAUUAGUGCUAAAUUGUAAGUAUUUAAAUGAGUGUUAGCCGAAAUUGAGCCUAUGAUAUUAAUUAGAAUUUGUGAAAUUUAUGCAUUUUGUGGUCCAAGUGUGAUAAGAACCAUACGAUUAUGGCAUGUAAGCAUGAAGAUUUGUGGAUGAUUUAGAAUUGGCCUAAGUGUUUUAGUCAUUAAUAUAUAUGUAUAUUGCCGAAUGUAUGCUUAAGGAAUUGGUUAAGUACAUUGUUGUUAAAUGCUUGUUGUUUUUGUAUAAUUGUUGCCUAGCUACUAAAUGAACUUAGGGUAUUAUGGAUAAGUUUAAGAGUGGCAUAAUUGAAAUGAAGUUUGCUUGGGCCAAAUGUGAACCUAAGUUUUGAAUUACAAUUGAUGCUUGUUAGUUAGUUGAUGAUGUCCUUUGAUAGCCCUUUUGAUAUUCGGCCAUUGUUAAGGAAUUUUGAAUUGGUUAUAAAUUUCUAUGUUUUAAUUAGCAAAUUGAAUUAUUGAAGGUUGAGCUAAUUAUAUAUGUAUACGUUUUAUAUGUACAUUAAUUUCUUAGUCUAUGUUAUUCGGCUAUAAUCGUCAUGGUAGAAUUUUUUUUUAAUUUGUAAAUUUGUUAAUCAUUAGCUCAAGAGCAUCAAGGACAAAAGUCGGAAAAAGGGACGACAAAACUAAGCGAAUAGCCGUAGAAUUAUAGUCGUCGACAACUUUUAAGGUAAGUUUCUAGCAUAUAAGUUUAGUUAUAAUGAAGAAUGAUAUGGAAAACGGCAUAAAUGAUAUUAUGUUUUAAAUAUGUGAAUGAGAACUUUACAGAGUAAAUUGUAUAAAUCUGCAAGGGACAGCAGCAGUAGCGUGUUUUGGAAAAAUUACCAUAAAUUGUGGGAGUUGAGUUAAAGGCUGAAUAAAAUAUGUAAUCAAAGCUUAUUUAGUCUAGUUUCUUAUAAAAGAGACUGUGGAAGCAAAGAAAUCUCCUAUAAAGAGAUAUUUAAAGUUGUGUGGGACAGUGUCAGAAUGACUCUGAAAUCCCCUGUUCUGUUUUUUGAAAAUCAUUAUAAUUUGUACAAAAAUGGUUAUAAGAUAAGAUUUAUAUUCUUAGACUCCUUAAUGAGUCUAGUUUCAAAUUAAAUCAAAUAGAACACAUUAUGAAUUCUGUACAAUGAAAAAUUUGAUUCGUAGUGAAGAGUGGUCAGAUUAGUCAAAUAGUGAAAUAGGGGAAACUUUAAGAAAAAUCUGGUAUUGAGUGGCCAAACCUAAAAUUCUGGAAAUUUUAUGGAUGGAAAAUAUACGAGUCUAUAUUCAGGGAAAAUUAACGGAAAGUGAUUUGGAGUUUUGUAGCUCCAAUUAUAAAUAAUUUAGUGACUAUUGCUCAGGAAAACAGGUCGUAGUGAAAAUGUGAUUUUGUUGUAAACAUGGAUAAAACUUGUUUUAGUUGCUCAUAAGCUAUUGAUUAAACCCAUACGUGAAUUCUAAAUCGUGAUAUCGUAAAACGAUAUAUGAGUGUUAGACGGAUCUUUGAUAUUAAAAUUUUUGAAAUUGUAAGUUAUGAGUAUUCGAAUAUGAAAUGAUAGUAUGGUGUGAAAUUGAAUUAUUCAUUGGAAAAUGAUUGAUGUAGAUUCGGCCAAGACAAAGUGUAUACAUGAUAGUAUAUGUGGAAUGUGAAAGUAUAUAUAUAUGUGAUAAGGCCUAAUGGCCGAUGUGAUGAAUGUGAAAGUGUAUAUAUGUGAUAAGGCCUAAUAGCCGAUGUGAUGAAUGUGAAAGUGUAUAUAUAUGUGAUAAGGCCUAAUGGCCGAUGUGAUGAAUGUGAAAGUGUAUAUAUGUGAUAAGGCCUAAUAGCCGAUGUGAUGAAUGUGAAAGUGUAUAUAUGUGAUAAGGCCGAAUGGCCGAUGUGAUGAAUGUGAAAGUGUAUAUAUGUGAUAAGGCCUAAUAGCCGAUGUGAUGAAUGUGAAAGUAUAUAUAUAUGUGAUAAGGCCUAAUGGCCGAUGUGAUGAAUGUGAAAGUGUAUAUAUGUGAUAAGGCCGAAUGGCCGAUGUGAUGAAUGUGAAAGUGUAUUUAUGUGAUAAGGCCGAAUGGCCAAUGUGAUGAAUGUGAAAGUGUAUAUAUAUGUGAUAAGGCCUAAUGGCCGAUGUGAUGAAUGUGAAGGUGUAUAUAUGUGAUAAGGCCUAAUAGCCGAUGUGAUGAAUGUGAAAGUGUAUAUAUGUGACAGGGCCGAGUGGCCAACGUGAUGGACGUGAAAGUGUAUAAAUGUGAUAAGUCCCGAAGGGCAUUUGUGUUAGUACUACAUCCGGGUUAAAACCCCGCAGGCUUUAUGCGAGAAUAUUAUCACUGAUUAAUGUCCGUAGGCUUCGUGCUUGUACUAUAUCCGAGCUCUAAAGACCCGAUAACUUCGUGUGGAGAUUACGUCCGAGCUAAAGGUCUCACCGAUAAUCCGAGUAGAGGUUAAAGCUAUAUGACUUCGUAAUAAGAAUUGCUUAUAAAUAUAUUCAAUGCGAAAGGUUAAACAGGUAUGUACUCCAAGUUUAUAUGUGAGCUUGAUUUGCACUAAAUCAUAAGGUAGUUAUGUGAUGCAUACGAGAGCAAUCUAUGAGACUAUUCCUAUGAUUAUGUGACAUCGGAUCAGUGUGAGAGGUUAUGUGAAAUCAUACGAUAUAUCUAUGUCACAUGAGCUCACUUUUAUGUGAAAGUUUAUCUGCCUAUUGUAUAUGAUGAGAUGUGCAUAUUCGGUAAAGGGAUGGUAUGCCCGAAGGAAGAGUGAAAUAAAAAUACGAACAACUAUGUUAUAAUUUGAUUGUUAUCUGUUGACACUGCUUAAAACUUACUAAGCAUUGUAAUGCUUACUCCGUUUACUCUGUUUCCUCUGUUUUAUAGAUCUCAUUGCGAAGCUACAGGCUCGGGGAUCAUCAGCAACUAGUCACACUAUCACUAUCCAUUGUUUGGUACUGCUACGUUUUGGAUUAUCUUAUGGCAUGUAUAGAAUAGACUAGUAGUGAGAGGAUAUUUUGGUUAAUGUAUAUAAGCCAUGCGAAAAUGGCAUCUUUUGAAUGUUUACUUAGAGAAGUUUAAAUUUUAUCCUUGGCUGUGCUUAGUACUUAUUUAAAUGAAUGAUCUUUAUUUCAAGAAAAAGUUCAAAAUUUUACUGUUCUGACAUGAGUUACAAGUCCGGUAAUGCCCCUUACCUAUUCCGGCGACGGUUACGGGAUAGGGGUGUUACAGUAAUCCUCAGCCAUAGACGGUUUGGAGCUGCGAGGGACUCAGAGGUGGCCACAUAAUUGCGGAUGCUCUACUUUUGACUUUAUUUAUUUAAAUUUCGUAUUGGGUUUUUGAUUAUGUAAUAAGGCCAUUUUUGGUUUGAACUUUUAUUUGGGCUUUGAUUUCUUACCUUAAACUACUAGACUAGGAAAAGAUGAGUUUUCAAAAUAAUAACUGUUUUUAAGGAAAACACGCAUUUUAAACUUCAAGGUUUUUAAAAGCUUCUGCGACUUUAUUUAGUUUAAGGAAUAAACGAUGAUAAAUAUGGUAAUCCUUCUGACAAAUUGUUUUCAAUUAGUAACAACUUAAUUUGCCAAACUUUCACAGGCAAUGAAAACUAAAAGGGUUUUAACUUAAAUUGGGAUUCUUAACGACAAGUCCUAUUUUUGAAAAGUACUUUGAUGUGACACACCAUAUUCGUCCAUAAUGUCUAGGCCGAGUUUGGGGUGUUAUAAAAAGGAAAGAAACGGUAAAUGUUGAAAUAAACUAUAUCAUGUAUUUAUGAAAAUGAUUGAUAAGGUAAGCUUUCGCUUGACAUUAUGCACAUGUUCAUAGAAAGGUUAAAUGAUUCAAACGAAAUAUGUUCACAUGGAAAUGGAUCGUCAUAUGUUUAAUUCAAGUGAAUUAUGUAUGUAUGCACUAACUUGUGUAUUGAUGAUGAUGUUUAGGCUUGUUCCAAGCUUGUGAUUGGAUUAUAUCAUGCUUAAUCUUAAUGAAAUCCAUUGAAAUGGUAAGUGUUCAAUUGGUAACAUGCUUAUGUUCAUGAAAAGGUGGAAUAAAUCAAAGUAUGUAAUUUCUUAUGAAAUGGUUUAUCAUGUAGUUGAUUCCAAAAGAGCUAUGUUUAAAGGCAUUAGUUUGUAGUCAUGGUUGAUGUUAUGUUUAUGUCUUGUGUUUUAUGCAUAUGAAACGGGUGAGGAAAGGUAAUGAAAUGGUAAGUGCAUAGUUGAAUUUUCAUAUGAUGAAAAAGGGGAUUGAAGAGUUGAAUGAUUUAUUUAUAUGAGAAACUUACGUAUGCUAUGGAUGAAUUUACCUAGUUCAUGAACGAAUAUAAUAAAUUAUGAGUUGAUGUUAUAUAGUUGUUAAAUCUUGAGGCAUUGGUAUAGGUUUAUAAUUAACCUAUAAAGUUCAUUAUUGAAAUAAAAUGUUAUGUUUAAAGUUUAUAUGAGCUUACUAAGCAUUCAUUGCUUACGUAGUUAUUUUCCUUUACUUUAUAGAUUAUCAGAAGCUCGAUCGGGUUGGAAGAUCGUCAGAGAACUAUCACACUAUGCAGUGAUUAUAUUGGUAGAUUUUGAUGUCUUGAUCAAGGUUAUAAUGGCAUGUAUAGGUGGACUUGUGUUUUAUGUUAGUUGAUGAGUUUGACAUGUAUAUGUCAUUUUGGUUGAUGUAACCUUGGUAUCUUUAAUGCCUAUUUGGUUUGUGUUCUUUUGAUAAGAUGUUAAUGCAUGUUUGAAUAGCCAAAAUGAUAGGUGAUGAUUUGAUUUCAAUAAGGUCAA